UUGGAUGGCUAAGGGAGCUGGGUCUUAUCCACACAGGCUGGAACAGGCUGUAAAGGCAAAAGGAACCUGGUCCAAGAUGCCUUAAAACGUGUGACAGCUCCCAUUGGAUCAAGUUUGAAUUAAAGCAACCUUAUCCUUGACCUCACAUGCUUAGUCUCUCUGAAACCCUUGUAUCUGAUCUUAUAUAUUGUAAACUCUGUCUUGAUUAAUAAAACAACUCGAUUUGAUGAUAAUCUCUCUCUAGUUCAUCAUGUUUCUCUUUUACAUAUCAUAAAUCAUCCCAUCUUCCCUUAAUCUCACCAUAAUCUCUUUCUAAACUCUCAAUACCUGUUCUCAUCUCUAAAAUCACAACUCUAUCUCCUGCCCAAUCAGCAUCACAAUAUCCAACCACUUCUGUAC
rnacentral:lncRNA from 1 species